rnacentral:rRNA from 1 species
GUGUCAGCAGCCGCGGUAAUACAGAGGUCCCAAGCGUUGUUCGGAUUCACUGGGCGUAAAGGGUGCGUAGGUGGUAAGGCAAGUCAGGUGUGAAAUCUCCGGGCUCAACCCGGAAAUGGCAUUCGAAACUACCUUGCUAGAGGGUUUGAGGGGGGACUGGAAUACUUGGUGUAGCAGUGAAAUGCGUAGAUAUCAAGUGGAACACCAGUGGCGAAGGCGAGUCCCUGGAAAACUCCUGACACUGAGGCACGAAAGCUAGGGGAGCAAACAGGAUUAGAAACCCUAGUAGUCC